rnacentral:rRNA from 1 species
ACGGAAGGCAGCAGUGAGGAAUAUUGGACAAUGGAGGCAACUCUGAUCCAGCCAUGCCGCGUGAAGGACUAAGGCCCUACGGGUCGUAAACUUCUUUUGACGCAGGGCAAUAAGGCGUACGUGUACGCCGAUGAGAGUAUGCGUCGAAUAAGCAUCGGCUAACUCCGUGCCAGCAGCCGCGGUAAUACGGAGGAUGCAAGCGUUAUCCGGAUUUAUUGGGUUUAAAGGGUGCGUAGGCGGAUGAUUAAGUCAGUGGUGAAAGGUCCCGGCUCAACCGGGGAGCUGCCAUUGAUACUGGUCGUCUUGAAUGCGGAUGCCGUGGGAGGAAUGUGUGGUGUAGCGGUGAAAUGCAUAGAUAUCACACAGAACACCGAUUGCGUAGGCAGCAGACCAGGCCGUAAAUGACGCUCAUGCACGUAAGUGCGGGGAUCGAACAGGAUUAGAUACCCUGGUA